rnacentral:rRNA from 1 species
UACGGAGGGUGCAAGCGUUGUUCGGAAUCACUGGGCGUAAAGGGCGUGUAGGCGGUCCGCUAAGUCUGAUGUGAAAGCCCGGGGCUCACCCCCGGAAGGGCAUUGGAAACUGGCGGACUCGAGUCCCGGAGAGGAAGGUGGAAUUCCUGGUGUAGCGGUGAAAUGCGUAGAUAUCAGGAGGAAUACCGGUGGCGAAGGCGACAUCCUGGACCGGUAUUGACGCUGAGGCGCGAAAGCCAGGGGAGCAAACAGG